UGUAAGCGUAUACCAAAGUUGUUGCAGUUAAAACGCUCGUAGUCGGUAUUUGGCAGUUCCGGAUGUGUGCACGUCGUGUGCGCACUUCGCGGGGAUUGCUUUUGUGGUCUUGCGUAGGAUGAGGCACUUUUAUUAGUGAACGUCCUCACGCAACCACUUUUUACUGUGAGAAAAUCAGAGUGCUCAAAGCAGGCAUUUGCCGUGAAUGUAUUAGCAUGGAAUAAUAGAAUAGGACUUGGUUCUAUUUUGUUGGUUCGUUGGGACUGAGUAAUGAUUAAGAGGGACAGUUGGGGGCAUUUGUAUUUCGGUGCUAGAGGUGAAAUUCUUAGAUUACCGAAAGACAAACUGCUGCGAAAGCGUCUGCCAAGGAUGUUUUCAUUGA
rnacentral:rRNA from 1 species